GGGCCCGCACAAGCGGUGGAGCAUGUGGUUUAAUUCGACGCAACGCGAAGAACCUUACCAGGUCUUGACAUCCUAGAAACUUAGCAGAGAUGCUUUGGUGCCUUCGGGAAUCUAGUGACAGGUGCUGCAUGGCUGUCGUCAGCUCGUGUCGUGAGAUGUUGGGUUAAGUCCCGUAACGAGCGCAACCCUUGUCCUUAGUUGCCAGCACAUAAUGGUGGGAACUCUAACGGGACUGCCGGUGCAAACCGCGAGGAAGGUGGGGAUGACGUCAAAUCAUCACGGCCCUUACGUCCUGGGCUACACACGUGCUACAAUGGCCGGUACAGAGGGCAGCCACACCGCAAGGUGGAG
rnacentral:rRNA from 1 species